rnacentral:lncRNA from 1 species
ACUUCUGAGAUUUGUUUUUGUCAAUAGGACAUGACAUUUCUGCUGCCAUAGUAAAGGGCACACUUUUCUUCAGUUACACAUAAAAGUUAAAUUUUAACAGCAUGGUGAAGUUAAGAGGAAGUGUUUCUUGCUUAUGUGUUACUCCAGGAAUUCAGGGAUUUGAGGGCAAGAUGAUGUAAUUAAUAUCUUUUUUGCAGGAGUGCCCAAUUGGUUAUGCCAAGGUCAACUGUACCUGUCAAUCAGAAUGAGACAGGAGCAGGUGGAGUGGAGAGGACAAUUCUUAAGCUCCAACUGAGUUUACCUGAAAUUUUCCCAGGACAACCUUAACCCCGAGUGGAUUUUGUACACAUUGACUGUAUGGAUAUCUUCUGACACCAACAUCAGACCUAUGGAACUGGAAUCAUGAUCCUCUACAAGAGAACGACCUCAGCAGCUGCUGCUCUUCAGCCUUGGCCUCAGAAGAGAAACACGUGGAAUAGACCUAAACUCAGCUCACAGCUUGAAUACAAGUCCAGAUAAACCACAUCCUAUGCAGAGAUGUGUAGAUAAUGCCAGCCCUGAUCAGCUGAAUGCACUCAACCUGCUGACACAUGAGUGUGGGAUUUCAAGUUUAGUUUAGUGCAGCAGUAAGUAACUAAUGUGAUCUUAAAUCUAGUUAAUAAUCAUUUAUCCAGUGGGAGAUACAGAAGCACAAUAGGACACGAUCCUUUCCUUUUAAAUGUUUAUAAUCUACUUGGAGAACUAAAUGGAAAAUACAGGAAACUAUGGUGAGGAAAACAAGGAUAUGAUAAACCCAGCAUUAGUUGGAUGAGGAUAAAAAAUUUAUUUGGUGGGCUACAACUGACUCAUGAAAGUCCUUAGAAAACUAAAUAAUUAGGCUGUUCUAGUUUUGUAUGCUACAUAACUAAACAACCUACAACUUUGUGACUCAGAACUACAAUUUAUUAUUAUCUUUGAUAAUUACAUGUGUUAACGUGGCCCAGCUGAGCAGUUCUUAUCUGGGUCUCUCAUGUGGUGGUAAUUGGAUGUCAGCUGGGGCUGUCAUCAUC